rnacentral:rRNA from 1 species
GACGAACCGAGCGAACGUUGUUCGGAAUCACUGGGCUUAAAGGGCGCGUAGGCGGGUGCUCAAGUCCGGGGUGAAAUCCUCCAGCUCAACUGGAGAACUGCAUCCGAUACUGGCGGGCUUGAAUCCGGGAGAGGGAUGUGGAAUUCCAGGUGUAGCGGUGAAAUGCGUAGAUAUCUGGAGGAACACCGGUGGCGAAGGCGGCAUCCUGGACCGGUAUUGACGCUGAGGCGCGAAAGCUAGGGGAGCAACGGG